rnacentral:rRNA from 1 species
CCCUGCCAUUUGUACACACCGCCCGUCGCUCCUACCGAUUUCGAGUGAUCCGGUGAACCUUUUGGACUGCGCGGGGCCCCGUGCUCCGUGCGGAAAAUCAAGUAAACCAUAUCACUUAGAGGAAGGAGAAGUCGUAACAAGGUUUCCGUAGGUGA